CAGAGUUGUAAAACUCCCAAACCCAUGUGAACAUACCUGUUGCCUCGGCGGCCUACCUGGUCAGCUACCCUGUAGCUACCCUGUAGUCCGCCGGCGGAUCUACAAACUCUUGUUUUCAGUUGUAUCUCUGAGAAUAAAACAAAUAAGUCA
rnacentral:misc_RNA from 1 species